rnacentral:rRNA from 1 species
ACUGAACGCUGGCGGCAUGCCUUACACAUGCAAGUCGAACGGCAGCACGGGGCAACCUGGUGGCGAGUGGCGAACGGGUGAGUAAUGCAUCGGAACGUACCUUUCAGUGGGGGAUAACGUAGCGAAAGUUACGCUAAUACCGCAUAUUCUGUGAGCAGGAAAGCAGGGGAUCGCAAGACCUUGCGCUGAUUGAGCGGCCGAUGUCAGAUUAGCUAGUUGGUGAGGUAAAGGCUCACCAAGGCGACGAUCUGUAGCGGGUCUGAGAGGAUAAUCCGCCACACUGGAACUGAGACACGGUCCAGACUCCUACGGGAGGCAGCAGUGGGGAAUUUUGGACAAUGGGGGCAACCCUGAUCCAGCCAUGCCGCGUGAGUGAAGAAGGCCUUCGGGUUGUAAAGCUCUUUCGGCCGGGAAGAAAUCGCACGGGCUAAUACCCUGUGUGGAUGACGGUACCGGAAUAAGAAGCACCGGCUAACUACGUGCCAGCCGCCGCCGUAAAAC